rnacentral:rRNA from 1 species
AGAGCCGCGGUAUUUUGACCGUGCGAAGGUAGCAUAAUAAUUAGUUUUUUUAUUGAGAACUGGUAUGAAUGGUUGGACGAGAAAAAAUCUGUCUCUUUUUGAAUUUUUGAAUUUUACUUUUUAGUUAAAAGGCUAAAAUUUUUUUAAAAGACGAGAAGACCCUAUAGAGUUUUAUUUAUUUAAUAUUAUAAGUAUUUGGAAUGUGUUAUUUUAAUAUUAUAUUAAAUUUAGUUGGG